rnacentral:lncRNA from 1 species
UAUAAAUAAUUUUUUAUAUGCAUUUGGUUACAGUGAUAAAUAUCAACAAUAUAUACAUACAUCUAUUUAUAUUAACUCCUAAAUAAGUUUUUCUAAUCAUAAAUUUGUUCAAACAAAUAUAUAUUUUACUCCAUUCAAAUCGGCACAUUUUGUAUAAAAAAUUACUGAAUAAAAAAAUGCAACUGAAUUAUUAAAAAAACUGCAAUUGUCCCGAAACGUCCGUCAAUAAAGUGACAAAAUUUCAUACGUGUCCGUGAGAAAAAAAAAUGAUCCUGAUGAAUGGCCGGAGAUGAAAUUCUCUACAGGAAGUUCCGGUAGCGUCGAAUCUACAGAAGUUACCUUCUGCAGCUAAUUCUUGGGAUCAGUGAAGCGCCGCAAAGAAGAAAUAAGAAGAUAUCUAAGGAUCCACAGUGUGGCGGCGAAAUUACCGGUCUUCAAAUUCUUAUCGGUAGUAUUCCUCAUUUUCUCAAAGCCGGAAAGGAUGUCGAACGUGUUAGCGCCGGAGCUCUCGUCUACCUUUGCCGUUGUCCUCGAAAACCUCACUGCUAAGGUAUGCCCAAUUUUCUUACCCUCUUUGCUCAAUUUUGAUUCACAACCAAAAUUCCCAAUUCAUAGAUGACUGUGAUAUGAAUUGUAUAAGGACUGAGUUGGCUCAAACACAUUCAAUUGGUAGCGAGAAAGGAUGAAAAGCUGAAGAAGCUUCUUGAAGAUGUUAUCAAUUUCGAACGGAGGUGUGUUGCCCAAUUUAUAAGUAUUCUAUAUUAUUUUAUUACAUAUUUAUUUAUAAAAUGAUAUAAUAAACUAAUUAAUUAAUAAAUUCUUAAAUAAGUAUUCUAUAUUGUUUUAUUACAUAUUUAUUUAUAAAAUGAUAUAAUAAACUAAUUAAUAAAAGAAAACAAUAAUUGGACGGUAUAAGUAUUUAAUAUUAUUUUAUUAUAUAUUUAUUUAUAAAAUGAUAUAAUAAACUAAUUACUAAUAACACAUUAUUUAAGAUUACUUUUUGAUUUAGACUCCAAACACUAGUCGUACACGAGGCAUAAUUAUGUGAUGCCAAUGACAACAAUAGGGGACUAUCGUUGCCCGAAAGGCAGGUUUUGGAGAACGUAGACGAGCAGAAACUUCUUUUCAGCAUUGAAUUCUCCAAGCUACUACUCCUUAAAUAUGGGCUUUUUAAAUUAUAAUUAUAAUUAUAAUUAAAUGCCUCAAAAAUGGAGUAGCUUCUUUCUUUAUCCAAGUAAAUUACUAUCCGUUGACAAGAACCACAACCAUGAACAAUCAAAAACCGUCUUAAUAAAACUUUCAAUGUACAUUACUCCCUCCUUUCCUUUCUUUCUUAAUAUAAAUCGUUUUAGAAAAAUAUUUUUAUUUCUAUUUAAAAAUUUCAAAUAAACAUUAAUGACUUAAUUUUUAAUAUUAACCCAAAUAAUAAAUAUAAAUUUAAUUCUCUCACUAUUUUUUAUCCAAUAAAUAACAUUAUUUUUUUUUAAUACAAGAACAAUAUAAAUAAUUAAUAUUAUAUUUAAUAUUAUACAAUUAUUUUCUUAAUAUUUAUACACAAUUUUAAAAUUACUUAUAUUAAAAAACAGAGCGAAUAAUAUUUAAUAUUUAUUACGAAAAAUUUAGAUAGAAGAAAGGAUAAAGAUGAUACGACCAAAAACUGCACUUAUCUAUAUAGACAUUAAAUACCGACAUAAUAACUGCCCUUUUCCCAAUUUAGGCGUAUAAAUAUUGCAUGGGAAAUGCGGGCCCAGAUAUGAUUCGAGAACAUUUUAUAAAAAUUAAGGGGAAAAAAAGAGAGAAAAAAACACCCUAAGUACUGAAGAUAAAAAGCACGAUCUCACUAAUUCAAAUGGUUGUUUCAAGGCAACCCACAACUACAUGCUGAUUAUGUCACUCUUAAACUGCGCCUGUGAGGUAAUAUUCUCUCCCUCUCUUAGACAGUGUACGAUUGCUGAAUUGUAUCUAUAUCAAGACCCUUCAAUCUCACCACCGACUCAACGUGACCUUUCAGUGUGUGUAGUUCUCUCAACCUGGAAAGCAAAUCAACAAAACUACACACGGUUACCAUCAGCUAAUAAAAUCAAAUAUGCAUAUGCCCAAAAAGCUGGACUCAACUGAACAAUCAAAAAUCGAGUCUUGCUUCAUGGUACAGUAAUAUCAUGCUAACAAUGAUAAAGAUUUCAAAUCCAUUCACAAAUCUAUAAGUGCUGGCUUUCAAUUUAACUACUUACCUGGCAAUUUCAGCUCUUCUUUUAGCUUCUUCAGCCAUCUGAUUGAGCUCCGUGAAAUUGUUUCGGUCAUUAAACAUUUUGGUGUCAGGUACGUCAAGCCCAUGAAGGGUUCUUUGUGCAUGUGCCCAUUUAAGCUCACGUUGUUCCUUUCCGAAAUCCUUUUGCCUAGUGAAAGCAAUCUGCAAAACAAGACCAUCAUAAAGAAGAGCAUAUGUAGAUAAUUAUUAUGAAAACACAUCAAUUGUGAUACCCCAGAGCAUAUCAGAGAACCAUUCAUACCCUUCGCUCUAGAACAAGAUCCCAGGCCCUUCCACUUAGAGCGUAUCGGAUAAAGAACUUUAUGAUAUCAAGAGGGAUAUAGAAGAUGAUAUUAUAGAGCCAAAUUACGCCAGCCCAACCCCAUCCAAUUCCUUCAAUAGCAGCAAAACUCCAAUUUGCAUAAACCGCAAUCAAAGUAGCAAUCUGGUUGUAAUGAAAAAUAAAAAUAAUAAGAUUUUCAUUCAAUCACUCAAAAGGAAAAAGCAGAAAUGUGAAAUCAUAGUUUACUCACCAAUUGAGCAACCGCAAAGGCCACGACAAGUAACACACCAGGACGCUCAACGAAGGACCAACUUCGAGAUCGUGUGACAAAUAUUAGGGCCUGACUAAUAGUGCUCACUUGAAGAUAUAUGGCUGAAGCAAGCUUUCUAAAAUCAUCAUGAGCCGUUUUCUCAAGAGAUGCCACCCCAAACACAUUCUGCCAGGUUAUAAAAAAGAGCAAAUCAUCAAUAUUUCAAAAAUUAUCACCAUCACUGAACCAAUAUAGCAUCUAGAUGCUGCCAAAAUAGCAAGCCCAAACAGAAAAUCAAUACAAGUGACAAAACAUAAAAUUAUGAGAUUAAAUGAGAAUGUCAACUCAGCUAUAUUAAUUCUAACCCCCAUCAAAGAAAGUGAGGUUAUUCAUGUGAACAAAUAGUGGAGACAGGUUUCAUGAGAAGAUUGAGUGUGACAAUCAAACUUAUCUAUUGUAGCAUAAAAAAGAACUACAUUACGACAUAAAAAAGAACACUACGGAGUCAUUAAAAUUUAUCAACUGCAAAAGAUAUUAACAGGAGGAUAUGAAAGAUUUAUAAUCAUCCAGGUGCAUCCUUUAUGUAAAAUCAUCUUGAUGGCAAUUAAAAGAUUUGCGUACCGGGAAGAAGUUUGUUUUAUAUGCAGCCCAAAAGAAUAUAACAGUCAUCAUUGCCAAGUAACUACCAAGAACGAUGCCAGUCGUAAAAAUCUCAGCAAGCUUCCAGCUGUCUGGCAGAGGAGAUGGUUUCACCCUAUCCUUCGAUAUUGUCAUGAUGGUACCUGGGAGAAAACAGCUGCUAGUUAGAGGCAAAGCAUCUCUGGUUCCACAGAAGAAUUGCAAGGGUCCGCUUAAUCCCCGUCUAGGCGCUAGGCGGUCCCUCUACCACCUGGAUUUGGAUGGCCACCUAGGCGAAAUCAAACGUCUACCACAUCGAUUUUAAAAGCUUUGAAGCUCUACAACACUUGAAAUGAAUUUGCUAAGCAUAUUAUAUUUUGGAAAUUUUCAUGUAUAUUUUAAAAAAUUACAUAUAUAUGCUUUGUAUAGAUAGAAAAUUAAAUAAAUAAAUAACAUUGCCUAUGAAAAAGCCUAGUCCGCCUAAAAAAAGGUCUACUAAUUAACCAUAGCAACCGGUGGCAUAGUAAUUAACAUCUGCCCUUGAUAAUGAAUAUGGUUCAGCUCCAUUUUACCCUUCAAACUCCAUGAGAUAACAUAUACAUUUGGGAACCACAACGUUUGCAGUGUUUGUGGGAGAAGAAAAAACUAACCAUCAUUAAGGAUUGCAAUGAUGAGCACCAUAAAAGGUGGAAAGUCAAAUUUCCAUAUCAGAGCCAGCAGCAUAAAACCAAGCUGUCACGAACAAAAUGCGUAUGGGGUACAAAAUUAUAUGUCGAGAAUUUUGUAAUAAUGACGCAUAUAAUAAAGAAUCCAAAAUAAGGACUAUGAGAUGCCAAUUUAUAAGACAACUCCUCCCAACAACUUACCACUAUACGAAUUGUUAUAGAGACCGCAUAUAUCUGCCAAAGAGGAGAAGAAAGAAAGGGGUUAAGUUGAGCUUAAAAAAGUCAGACUAUAUAGGGCUUUUAGCCAUAUACAAAACAUCAGGAUAGAGACCCCCAAUGAUAAAGGUGUAAUAAGAUGUAAACCAGCCUGGAGUAGAAUUAAUUAAAUUUCAAGAAUAUACACCUUUAUCAAAACUAAAGGUUACCGUAUAAUUUUUCAUUCUCUGAAAGAUUGCCCGACUGGUCAAAACAGCACUAAUGAUAACGCUGAGUCCCGGUUCAGUAAGGACAAUAUCAGAAGCACUACGAGCUGCAUCAGUCGCAUCAGCCACAGCAAUCCCAAUAUCAGCCUUCUUAAGAGCAGGAGCAUCAUUAACGCCAUCACCAGUCAUUCCGCAUAUGUGUUUCCUAGCUUGCAAGCGCUUUACUAUCUCAUAUUUAUGCUCUGAAAACAAUGAAAUCAAAUCAUAGUAUCAUACAAGCAAUUUGGGGAACCAAAUUGUAAAAUGUAGCAUGCAUAGAUCAUUCCACCAAAUAUAAAUGCAACAUAAGAAAACACAUAAUGGUAUACCAGGGAAAACACCAGCAAAACCAUCUGCUUUCUCUAUGAGCUCGUCAAUUGGUAAAGCAGCAAUAGACUCAUCCUUGUCCUGUCCCAACAAAGCAGAAGAAGGAUACAUGUUGGUUCCCAUUCCCAAGCGGCGUCCAGUUUCUUUUCCUAUUGCCAGUUGAUCCCCUGUUACAAAUUUCAAGUUCAGCAAUUGGAAAGUAGAUCUGACUUUUUUCUGAAACGAUAUUAUAAACCGCGAUUUUGAUAAUGUCAAUUUUAUCCAAAUAUUUCAAGUCCCUACUUUUUUCAGGACAACUAAAGAGAAUCAACGGAUGAUAGGAGAAACCAUUCCCAUAGAAGCCUUUUUAGUAUACGAGGUUUAUUUUCAUAAUACCUACCCAAUCAUGAUAAUUGAUCAAUACAUGAAAGACAAGACACACUAGAAUUGCAUUACAUAAACGUUAUCCUCUGAGUUAUAUACUUAUAUGUAUGCUCGACUUCUGUAACCACAGCCUUUUGAAUUAAGGCCUUCUCUAUUAGUGUCCAUUUUGAUGCAAUUACAGAGAAGAGAUCAAUAGAUGAUUGUUCACUUGGUACAUUAUAAUUAUAGGCUCAAUCCCCAUAGAUCUAUGGGCUGUAAUGUAAAAUAUCAGAGGGAACCUCUAAAAUUAAAGCACCUAGCAAAGGAUGUCUAAGGUUUAGGUGGGGCAUGGCUUAGCCAGCACCCCCCUCCAGUCCAUCCACCCCUGUUCACAACCUGGUCCAAGCAGUAAACUCGUAAAUAACCAUUAUUCUGUUUGCAGCCAAUAAUUGUGCAGAACGAGUAUAUAAAUAACAGAAAUUUAAUAAGUACCAUAAUUUUGGAUUGCAUCCAUCAGUUUAGCAGGCACAACUUGAAAUGAAAAUCUUUAAAAAAUUACAAAAAAAAAACAAAAAAUAUUCAACUUUUGCAUCAUUGCCACAAAACACAGCUAGAAUUUACACUAAAUGUUGUCGCAUACUUUUGGGGUGCUAAUUUAAAAACAUAUUAUAAUAUCAUAUAUUAAAUACAGUAUGAGUAGGAUAUUUUCUUGUGAUAUAUAUGUUUUAGUAUUUUUACAAUACUUCUCCACAUUAAACAUUAUUGACUAUAACCCAUAAAAAGUAUGCACCUGUAAUCAUUUUAACAUUUACUCCAAGAUUUAAAGCCCUCCUUAUCGUCUCUGCACUGUCAUGCCUGGGUGGAUCAAAGAGAGGCAUGAGACCUAUAAACUGCCAAGGUCCCCCAGGGCUCUCUUUCCUCCCCUCUGGAACUUCCUGCAUGGAAAAGGAGCAUAAUUAAAAAAUAUCACGAAGAUAUUUCAGUUUACAUCGCAUAGAGGAUCAUGAAAUAGAAAUAAAAACAAUUUACCUGAUAUGCUACAGCAAGUGACCGCAAACCUCGGUCCGCAAACUUAUCAAUUAUAGAAUGAACCCUACGCUCAAUAUCUGACUUAUUGUGUGCAAGAUUUAAUAUCUAAAGCAAUAUCAAAGGCAAAAAAUUAGGCUAUUGACUGACAAGAGAAGAUACAGUCACACGACUAAGCAUGCUGAGAAUGAUACCUGCUCCGGAGCACCUUUGCUGACCCUAUGCAUUUUACCUUGGCUGUCAAGAUAAGUCAAAGCUGUACGCUUGUCAGUGGGAUUGAAGGGAAGGAAGUGUAGUUCUUGAAUACCAGCACGUGCCUGUCAUGGUGACAAUUCCCAAAGCAAAGAAGUAACUUAAAUGAGCAUCAGUCACCAAAACAAAUCUGCAAGCAAGUUCUGAUAUUUGAUUAUUCACCUCCUUAGGAUCAGCCAGCAUUCCAACUAUAGCAGAAUCUAUUGCAUCCUGGUUUUCUGUUCGGGAGGCUCGAGCUGCCAUCAGAACAACAGUAUCUGCAUCUACUCCUUUGGCAAAUACCUGAGAGAAGAGAUCAGGCAUGCGGUUAAACGUGAGCUAAAAUUUUCUCACCAAGAAAAUGGGUACAGAGUGGCACAAAUAAACUAACCUCAAUAAGAUUCUUAUCAACUGUAAGCUUGUUCAAUGUCAAAGUUCCAGUCUUGUCACUACAAAGCACGUCCAUACCCGCCAUCUCUUCUAUUGCUGUCAUUCUUUUCGUAAUUGCACCCUGUCAUUAUCAAGGUAUCCUUUCACACACCAGAAUCCAAUACUGCAUUAACCAAAGCAACCAAGGAAAUCUAACAAACCUGCUGAGCCAAGCGAUGAGAACCAAUGGCCAUUGUUACUGAUAAAACUGUGGGCAUGGCAAUUGGAAUUCCUCCAAUAAGAAGAACAAGAAGAUUGUCAAUUCCAGGGCGAUACUUCCUAUCUUGAAUGGGGUACUGUACGAUAAUCUCUAUAAUCAUCCCCACAGCAAUUGAGCAUAUACAAAAAUUUCCAAUUGCAGUCAAGACCUAUUCAGUUCAAGAAUGAAAUAAUAUCAGAACUGAUUUUCUAAAGGACAAGGCAACUUAAGAAUAAACACAACAGUUCUAUUUACUUGCCUUCUGAAAGUGGCCCACUUGGUUGGUAGAAUCAACAAGGUGAGCGGCCUUUCCAAAGAAAGUGUGAACCCCAGUGGCAAUUACCACAGCCUCGAUCUCUCCCUGUUUGCAAGUAGAACCAGAGUAAACGCCAUCCCCAGGGCCUUUGGUUACAGGAAGAGACUCACCAGUCAAAGCAGACUGCAUAUUGUGAAAAAGAUAACUUCAGCAACAGUUAUAAGACUUGACCGAUUCAACAGAAAGAUUACCUACAAGGCAAUGCUAAUAGCACACCCACCUGGUCAAUUUUCAAUGGAUCGCCAUCAAGCAGACGAGAAUCAGCAGGUACUAUAUCUCCGAGUUUUAUACUGAUUAUGUCCCCAGGCACUAAAAUAGCAGCAUCUUCCUCGUUCCACCUUCCAUCUCGAAGAACCUUCAUGACAAUGACAAUUAAAUAAAUACAAACUAAAUUUUACACAUUAAAACUCAACAAUCCUUAAUUUGAUCAUAACUACAUUAUAUUAUUGCAUUUUGUUGAGAAGUCAAGAGGAGGUGGUUGAGCGGUGGAAGUCAAAGGAACAUUCCCCCCUGUUUGGGAGACAGAGAAAAGGGUGACCGAAGUCAAAGUGGAGGGAUGUCCUUCCUCUCCACGCCCACAAAUUUCUUCCAUCCCUAUAGUACACAAAAAGGCAAAUUAUAUAAUCACCCAUUUUAAUUUUAUCGCAUCAUGGGCUUGCAAUCUUAACCAAUUAUAGUUGAUAUAAUGAUAAAAUUACAGUACAUCCAAACAAUGAAAAGUGACUUCCUGUUCCCCAUCCCUUACUCGUCCUAUCAGUUAAGGUAAAGGAAAGAGUAACCCUUCCCCAAGGGAAACUCUAUCUCCGGUAUACCAACCCCUCCCCUCUCCUUUUCCUUUAUCAUACCAAAUGAAUAGUUAAGAGUUUAUUGUACUAAAUUUACAAGAAAUGAAAAAUUAAACUCUAAUACCUUUGCUUUAGGAGCAAGACGCGCCAUGAGAGCAGCAGCUGCAUUGCCUGCAUUGUUCUCCUCGAUAAAACUAAUAGUUGAGUUAAUGGCUAGCAAAGUAAUGAUACCCACAAAAUCUUGCCAAUCAGGAGGCUUUCCCUGCAAGUAGUUAAGAACAUAUGGUUGGAUGAAUUUUAAAGGACCAAAUUUGAAUGAUAAAACUAGAUGAAUCAAAAAUAGUGUAUCUUACGCCUCCGUUGGCAAGGGCAAUUGCCAUGAUUGCAGCAGCUUCCAUAACCCAUGACAGAGGGUUCCACAUAAACCCCAAAAACUUCAAGAAUUUGCUCUCCUAAACACGUCACAAUAAAGGAAAAUGUGAAGAUACAAGGUAUAACAUUUAAACAAAGUUUAAACAGAGAUAAACACGGAUUUAAACUCUAGGUACAAGUUUAUAAAAUCAGAGUUACAUCUCACAAUGAAUGAAACAAGCACAUAAAACAAAAGACGGGAAAAACACAGGCAAGACAAGAAAAGGAAAGACAAUGGUGCUAGCAUCAAGCUAAAAACCCACAAAUAAUUACAAUUAAGUUGAGAAUUAAGUAUUUUUAAGACCAGAAUGGGAAAAAUCUUUGAAAGAAGAAUAUGGUUCCGGAGAAAAAUAGGCACCUUUUUCUCCUCAAGCUUGUUGUGACCGAAAAUUGUUAACCUCUCUUGAGCACCAUCACUGGUGAGACCCUCUUUGCUACAUCUCAGAUUUUCAAAAACUUCUUCAAUGGGUAUGCUUUCCUGCACGCACAAAGAGUAUAAAUCCAUCAAAAAACACAAACAAACAACCAAAAUUAAUCCAAACAAAGAGCAAUAAACAAUUCUCAGAUCCAUUACCAAAUCCACAGUUUCCUUCAACACAGCUUCAAGAACUUCAGACUUGUCCUCCAUCUUUCUCUCUCUAACUCCCUAUCUAUCUAUCUCUCUAAAUUCUUUCACGAUAAAAUCAGUUGAAGAUCAAAACCCAUCAAGGAAGUUCAACUUCUGUGAUGAAAUUUUCAACAAAUCAAAGAGGAGCACCCACCCAUUAAUAAGACUUGAAUUUAAAAAUUAAACUUAUGAUCUGGAGAAGAAGAAUGGUAGACCCACCAACACCAAAGUUGAACCGGCUGAGAGACAAGUAGUAAUAGUUGCAGACUUGCAGUCCACAACCUCUUUCCCAUUUUUUGCCUUUAUUUACCAAAUAUCGAAACCUACCAAAAAAACAACAAAAACAGAAUAAAUAAAUAAAUAAAUAUUUUAGGGUGCGCAAAUUAUAGUAGUCCAUAAUUUAUGGUUGAUUUCUCAUUUAUUAAAAAUAACUUAAUUAAUUUCACAUAUUAAAAUUGUGAAAUUAAGGUGUGUAGUUUUAAUAUCCUUAUUUUUUAUUUCUAAAAAAAUAAACUUUCUUCUUUUGAUAUAUAUUUUUUGGGUCUUUUGAUAAUUGGAGUGUUAUGCGAGUGCCGCCGCCCUGGAUACUGGUGCAGCACUAAUAUUAUUUGGAAAGAGAAUAUAAUUUUGUUUACAUUUUGGAGUUUUGUCCUUUUUUCAGUAUUUUAAUUGACUUUUUAUAUUUAAAGGGAUGAGAGAUGAAUGGCCAUGAACGAUGAACCAGAG